UACAGAGGUCUCAAGCGUUGUUCGGAUUCAUUGGGCGUAAAGGGUGUGUAGGUGGCGCGCUAAGUCGGGUGUGAAAUUUCGGAGCUUAACUCCGAAACUGCAUUCGAUACUGGCGUGCUUGAGGACUGGAGAGGAGACUGGAAUUCAUGGUGUAGCAGUGAAAUGCGUAGAGAUCGUAAGGAAGACCAGUGGCGAAGGCGGGUCUCUGGACAGUUCCUUGACACUGAGGCACGAAGGCCAGGGGAGCAAACGGG
rnacentral:rRNA from 1 species